rnacentral:misc_RNA from 1 species
UCACCCUUCAAGCCCUGCGCUUGGUGUUGGACGGCUUGGUCGCAUAUCUCGUUCGACCCCUCCUAAAGACAAUGACGGCGGCCUGUGGUUCCCCCGGUACACUGAGCUUUUUAACUGAGCACGUAUCGGACAAGGGCGCCCGGACGACGGUCUAAACCCCCCAUUUCUUAAAAA